ensembl:misc_RNA Metazoa_SRP Metazoan signal recognition particle RNA
GCCGGGUGUGGUGUUGCACGCCUGUAAUCCCAGCUACUUGGGAGGCUGAGGCAGGAGAAUCACUUGAACCUGGGAGGCGGAGGUUGCAGUGAGCUGAGAUAACACCACUGCACUUCAGCCUGGGCGACAGAGUGGGACUCUGUCUCAA